UACGAAGGGGGCUAGCGUUGUUCGGAAUUACUGGGCGUAAAGCGCACGUAGGCGGAUAUUUAAGUCAGGGGUGAAAUCCUGGGGCUCAACUCCAGAACUGCCUUUGAUACUGAAGAUCUUGAGUUCGGGAGAGGUGAGUGGAACUGCGAGUGUAGAGGUGAAAUUCGUAGAUAUUCGCAAGAACACCAGUGGCGAAGGCGGCUCACUGGCCCGAUACUGACGCUGAGGCACGAAAGCGUGGGGAGCAAACAGG
rnacentral:rRNA from 1 species